UAUCAUCCCAUUGGCGGGGUCUAGACUAUAGUCACGCGGAUUUUAAAAAUCAAUAAAUCAACUUUCUAUAUCAAAAUCAUAAUCAUACUCCCCACAGUAAAGCGCAUAACAAUUUAUGAGAUUAAAUAUUUAAUUUUAAUUCUAACACAUAUUGCUAAUAAUAAAUCAAUAAAUCAACAUAUGCAAGAUACAUGUUAGAAUUCUACUUUAAGGCAACGGUCACCUACCUGGGUUCGCUUAAAAAUCCCUACCACAGAUAUCACGAACUCCUGAUUAAACAUAAAUAUUAAUUAUUUAAUUAAUUAAGAAACAUAAUUUAAACUAAUUUCAACCCCUUAAACUCCUAAGUUCAUAAAUCCAAGAAUGGGCCCCCAAGAUCAAACAUAUAUCCUAAAAUCAGAAUCCUUUAGACCCAAGUCAAUUGUGGCCCAACACAGAUUAGGCCCAAUUGAACCAAACCAGAUUACAGGUCCAGAUCAGAUCUCGGGCCCAAAUCAAACCAGCCCACAGAUCCAAUCAAGCCCAACUCAGCCCAAAAACAGACCCCCAACCCAAAUUCUUGACUCAGAUUCAGACCCUAAUCAGAACCCAUUCACGGAAUAGGUGGAACCGGUUCACAGUUUAGACCCGGUUCAAAAUCUGGUUCACCAUUAAGGCACGGAUUUCAAAGCAAGGAAAAACACCCAGAUCGAAGAAAGAAGAAGAAGAAGAA
rnacentral:lncRNA from 1 species